rnacentral:rRNA from 1 species
CCUACGGGUGGCAGCAGUGGGGAAUAUUGGGCAAUGGGGGGAACCCUGAUCCAGCCAUGCCGCGUGUGUGAAGAAGGCCCUCGGGUUGUAAAGCACUUUCAGUGAGGAAGAACGCCUGGUGGUUAAUACCCAUCAGGAAAGACAUCACUCACAGAAGAAGCACCGGCUAACUCCGUGCCAGCAGCCGCGGUAAUACGGAGGGUGCGAGCGUUAAUCGGAAUUACUGGGCGUAAAGCGCGCGUAGGUGGCUUGAUAAGCCGGUUGUGAAAGCCCCGGGCUCAACCUGGGAACGGCAUCCGGAACUGCCAAGCUAGAGUGCAGGAGAGGAAGGUAGAAUUCCCGGUGUAGCGGUGAAAUGCGCAGAGAUCGGGAGGAAUACCAGUGGCGAAGGCGGCCUUCUGGACUGACACUGACACUGAGGUGCGAAAGCGUGGGUAGCAAACAGGAUUAGAUACCCUGGUAGUC